rnacentral:misc_RNA from 1 species
UCAAACUUGGUCAUUUAGAGGAAGUAAAAGUCGUAACAAGGUUUCCGUAGGUGAACCUGCGGAAGGAUCAUUACAAAUCCAUCACGUCUCUUUCCGAGACCACGUUGAAAUGUGGAUGGUGUGGGUGGUGGUGGUGGUGGAGGUGUGGUGUGGUGUGGUGUGGUGGGGCGGUACUUGUGUACCCCCCGCCUGCCUACCUACCUACCUGCGCGCCUACCUACUGCACCAUCACGUGUAUGGCGCACGUGGCAGCGCGGCCGGCUCACCGUCAUAUCGUCGUGUGUUGCCGUGCCGUCGCCGCCCGUGCAUCUACGCAAACGAGUUGAUAUUGUUGUCCAAGUGUAUUAUGUUUUCGAACAUCAGUACAACUUAUAACAAUGGAUCUCUAGGCUCUUGCAUCGAUGAAGAACGCAGC